ensembl:lncRNA
GGAAAUGUGGGACAUUGAUUUAAAGGGCAGACACCUAUACAAUAUUCAAAAACAAGUUGGCAAAGGGAGAAUAUGUUUUAACAAUAGAAAAGAAGACAUAAUAAUUACUCGACUUCGAAUUGGACAUUAUGGUUUAAAUCAUUCAUUAUUCACAAUAGGGAAACAUCAGUCAGGCUUAUGUACAACAUGUAGUAAAGCAGAGAAUAUUGAGCAUGUACUUCUACAUUGUGCAUUAUAUUCCAAAGAAAGAGAAGAGUUAUUUAAGAAACUGAGAAACAUGGGAAUAAUUAAUUUUACUAUAUCAAAUCUUUUAAGUUGUGCCUCAGGGCAGACAAGUACUAUGAGAGAAAUUCUUAGGUAUCUGAAGAUAACAGGAUUGGAAAGCAGAAUAUAAAUCUCAUAUUAAUACUACCGGUUGGUUUAUUUAUGUAAUUAUUAUUAUUUAGUUAUAUAUUUAUUUAUAUUUAAUUAUUUAUAUUUAUUUAUUUAUUUUUAUUUUUUUUACUUCCUUCCCGUUAAUGCUUCAUACUCCAGUCCAGUUGGUGGCGGUAAUACACCAUAAGUUGGCUUGUCAACCGCCAUUAAAUCAUACAAGAAGAAGAAGAAGAAGAAGCGGGGAGGCGAGUUUUCAUGACGCCGGAUCGCAGAGUACAUACUCUUUUAGCGCUCGUUAAGUAGCUACUUAUUGAAAUAAAAUACCUACUCUUUGAGUGCCAUAUCGGACGCAGCCAAAGUGAAAAGUGUUGUUGUUUUUGUUGUUUUAUACAAGCUCCGGAGCUUCCGUGUAGAACGUAACAUCACUACUACAUAGUCAACAUGCCUUCAUUUACAAGAGCUUGUAAAGCACGUGGACUGAUCAUGGUGUUAAUCUUGGUGUUAAUCGUGGUUUUCAUGGUGCUGCAGAUGCUUGCAUUUGGAAGUUCUGCUCCUCUACAGAAGAGGUCCAGCAAUUGUCGGUGUUCUCUGUCUUGUGAUGGAGCUGAAGCUGAGCUGAAGAAACAUGAGAGAGUUGAAGUUCAUGUACAACGUCAAUCAGUUGAAAUUUAUACUAAAGAAGUUACAGUCUCCAGUUUAUUUGAUGAAAAACGACGCUGUUCUGUGGUCGUGCCGGAAUGUUCACAAGGGGACAAACGGUUUCAACUGAAAAUAUUUCCUACUGAUGCAAAAAAGCCACUCUAUGAAAAAAUGGAUUCAAAGCCUGAAAAGGAAAAUCAGAAUGUGCUUAAACAGCUUUUCUAUACAGUUAAAGUAUCAAGUAUGUUUUUUUUUUUUGUUUUUUUUAAUGCCAGUACUGAAAAAUACAACGUAUCAUAAGAGUAGUCC